rnacentral:rRNA from 1 species
UUAAGCAUAUCAAUAAGCGGAGGAAAAGAAACCAACAGGGAUUACCUUAGUAACGGCGAGUGAAGCGGUAAAAGCUCAAAUUUGAAAUCUAGCACUUUCAGUGUUCGAGUUGUAAUUUGAAGAAGGUAUCUUUGGAGUUGGCCCCCGUCUAUGUUCCUUGGAACAGGACGUCACAGAGGGUGAGAAUCCCGUGCGAUGGGGAGACCAAUUCUAUGUAAAGUUCCUUCGAAGAGUCGAGUUGUUUGGGAAUGCAGCUCUAAGUGGGUGGUAAAUUCCAUCUAAAGCUAAAUAUUGGCGAGAGACCGAUAGCGAACAAGUACAGUGAUGGAAAGAUGAAAAGAACUUUGAAAAGAGAGUGAAAAAGUACGUGAAAUUGUUGAAAGGGAAGGGCUUUUGAUCAGACUUGGUGUUUAGUACUCUCUACUCCUUGUGGGUGGGGCUCUUGCUUUAUACUGGGCCAGCAUCGGUUUGGAUGGUAGGAUAAUAGCAUUGGAAUGUGGCUUCAUUCGUGAAGUGUUAUAGCCUUUGUUGAUACUACCUAUCUAGACCGAGGACUGCGUCUUUUGACUAGGAUGCUGGCGUAAUGAUUAAAAGCCGCCCGU